ACCCAGAUGACGAGUCUUAAAUAGGACGAAACUCGCGUUCUGGAU
rnacentral:hammerhead_ribozyme from 1 species